GCAAGAUUAAAACUCAAAGGAAUAGACGGGGACCCGCACAAGCGGUGGAGCAUGUGGUUUAAUUCGACGAUACGCGAAGAACCUUACCUGGCCUUGACAUAGAAAGAACUUACUAGAGAUAGUUUGGUGCUAGCUUGCUAGAACUUUCAUACAGGUGCUGCACGGCUGUCGUCAGCUCGUGUCGUGAGAUGUUGGGUUAAGUCCCGCAACGAGCGCAACCCUCGUGUUUAGUUACUAACAGUUCGGCUGAGGACUCUAGACAGACUGCCUGGGUAACCAGGAGGAAGGUGAGGACGACGUCAAGUCAUCAUGGCCCUUACGGCCAGGGCUACACACGUGCUACAAUGGGGUAUACAAAGAGCCGCAAUACCGUGAGGUGGAGCAAAUCUCAUAAAAUAUCUCCCAGUUCGGAUUGAAGUCUGCAACUCGACCCCAUGAAGUUGGAAUCGCUAGUAAUCGUGAAUCAGCAAUGUCACGGUGAAUACGUUCCCGGGUCUUGUACUCACCGCCC
rnacentral:rRNA from 1 species